rnacentral:rRNA from 1 species
CCUACGGGAGGCAGCAGUGGGGAAUAUUGGACAAUGGGCGCAAGCCUGAUCCAGCCAUACCGCGUGUGUGAAGAAGGCCUUUUGGUUGUAAAGCACUUUAAGCGAGGAGGAGGGCACUUGGGCUAAUAUCCCGAUGUGUCGGACGUUACUCGCAGAAUAAGCACCGGCUAACUCUGUGCCAGCAGCCGCGGUAAUACAGAGGGUGCGAGCGUUAAUCGGAAUUACUGGGCGUAAAGCGCGCGUAGGCGGCUUGUUAAGUCGGAUGUGAAAUCCCCGGGCUCAACCUGGGCACUGCAUUCGAUACUGGCAAGCUAGAGUAUGGGAGAGGAAGGUAGAAUUCCAGGUGUAGCGGUGAAAUGCGUAGAGAUCUGGAGGAAUACCGAUGGCGAAGGCAGCCUUCUGGCCUAAUACUGACGCUGAGGUGCGAAAGCAUGGGGAGCAAACAGGAUUUAGAUACCCCUGGUAGUCCAUGCCGUAACGAUGUCAACUACGUCCGUUCGGGUACCGUUGUAGUCUUAGUUGGCGCGAGCUACGCGAGUAAGUUAGACCGCCGUGGGAGGUACGGUCGCGAGAACGUAAACGUACAAGUAGAGUUAGACGGCGUUGGAGGACGUUGGCCGACGGACGACGACGAGGGGAGGAGG